AACGCGAAGAACCUUCCAAGUCUUGAAUUCCUUUGAACCGGUGGUAAAUGCGACCUUCUCUUCGGAGCAAAGUGACAGGUGGUGCAUGGUUGUCUUCACCUCGUGUCGUGAGAUGUUGGGUUAAGUCCCGCAACGAGCGCAACCCUUAUCUUUAGUAGCCAGCAUUUUGGAUGGGCACUCUAGAGAGACUGCCAGGGAUAACCUGGAGGAAGGUGGGGAUGACGUCCAAUCAUCAUGCCCCUUAUGACUUGGGCUACCCCCGUGCUACCAUGGGGUAAACAAAGAGAAGCAAGACUGUGAAGUGGAGCAAAUCUCAAAAAUAACGUCUCAGUUCGGAUUGUAGUCUGCAACUCGACUACAUGAAGCUGGAAUCGCUAGUAAUCGCGAAUCAAAAUGUCCCGGUGAAUACGUUCCCGGGUCUUGUACACACCG
rnacentral:rRNA from 1 species